rnacentral:rRNA from 1 species
UACGGAGGGUGCAAGCGUUAUCCGGAAUCACUGGGUUUAAAGGGUGCGUAGGCGGCUUGAUAAGUCAGAGGUGAAAGCUCACGGCUCAACCGUGGAAUUGCCUUUGAUACUGUCAGGCUUGAAUUAGGUUGAGGCAAGCGGAAUGUGACAUGUAGCGGUGAAAUGCUUAGAUAUGUCAUAGAACACCGAUUGCGAAGGCAGCUUGCCAAGCCUUGAUUGACGCUGAGGCACGAAAGCGUGGGGAGCGAAC